rfam:Drosophila ficusphila unplaced genomic scaffold scf7180000453851, whole genome shotgun sequence
AAUUCCUGAUGAAUGAAACUUACACCAUCUUUCGACUGAAAAACGUAUUGAUGCUAUACAAGUUUUCACUGACUUUCGCA